rnacentral:rRNA from 1 species
CAGUCGCCGCGGUAAGACAGAGGAUGCAAGCGUUAUCCGGAAUGAUUGGGCGUAAAGCGUCUGUAGGUGGCUUUUCAAGUCCACCGUCAAAUCCCCGGGCUCAACCCUGGACAGGCAGUGGAAACUACCAAGCUGGAGUAUGGUAGGGGCAGAGGGAAUUUCCGGUGGAGUGGUGAAAUGCGUUGAGAUCGGAAAGAACACCAACGGCAAAAGCACUCUGCUAGGCCGACACUGACACUGAGAGACGAAAGCUAGGGGAGCAAAUGGGAUUAGAUACCCGCGUAGUCCCUGUCUCUUAUAC